CAGCCGCCACGGGAAUACGAAGGGGGCUAGCGUUGUUCGGAUUUACUGGGCGUAAAGGGCGCGUAGGCGGACUGAUAAGUCAGGGGUGAAAUCCCAAGGCUCAACCUUGGAACUGCCUUUGAUACUGUUUGUCUUGAGUUCGAGAGAGGUAAGUGGAACUGCGAGUGUAGCGGUGAAAUGCGUAGAUAUAUGGAGGAACACCGGUGGCGAAAGCGGCUCUCUGGCUUGCAACUGACGCUGAGGCUCGAAAGCGUGGGGAGCAAACAGGAUUAGAUACCCCCGUAGUCCCUGUCUCUUAUAC
rnacentral:rRNA from 1 species